CUCUAACACAACAAAAGCAUUUAAUUUCUCACUUCUCCGGACAGAGCUGUAUAGGCUACAAUGAGCACACCACUGAAGUCCUGUUUCUGGAGCUCAAACCUUCGUCUAUGGACCUCCUCAGGUCUCAGGUUCACCAGCUGGACCAGCACAUAUUCGGAAACAGAUCCAUCAUUUUCAGCAAUGGAUGGAUGUAACCUCUCAUGAUUAAUCGGGCACCUCUGAGGGCCACUAAUGAAGACAAAGAUGUAACUUCUUAAGUCUGCAGAAGGUUUGAAAUGAAGUAAACUGCAUACAAUCCAAGGAGUGGAAAUUCUGGAUGACAACUGUUCAUUACAUUUCUGUAUGCAGCAUUAAAAACAGUGAAGCGGUUGGAAAUCAAUUCCAGCUGAAAUGAAGAGUUUGCCUGACUGUAAAUCUGGGUUUUAGGCUACUAUUAUUUUCGAUGUAUAAGACAAUUGCUCAGUGUAAUGUAAAUGUACAAAAUGUGUUAAAUAAAUGAAUGAAUACUACUA